rnacentral:misc_RNA from 1 species
CCUGUUGUUGACGUUUCCUUUUUUUUUCGUCAUAACAAAAAAAUCAAAUCAAAUCUCUUGAUAAAUGUUGAACAAUAGAACGUACUCCGCGUGAAAUGUGACUAUAGUGAAAUUGUAUUUACUUACAGCCCGUGUCCGCGGUGUACUUUCAUUGAUAUCUUAAAAUCGAUUACAUUGCACCUUAACUAACGACGUACAGGUAAUACAACCAAUAACACACUUUGCUCGUAACCUAUAAAUUGUCUAUUGUAUAUUUCAUCGACGAAUUUUUAAUUUGAAAUAAAACAAACAAAUGGCGGACGAGCUCAUCAACUACAAACUGCAGCUGCAGCAGGUAGAAGCUGCGUUAACCAAUAGUCCUGAUGAUCCAGAACUUAUGAAACUAAAAACUGAUUUAGAAGAAGUAAUUGAACUUACUGCUGAACUAGUAAGAACGCAAACUCAACCUAAAAAAGAAACUGUUCAAAUAAAAAAAGAAUCAUCAUAUCAACCUGAUAUACUACCAUCUGUUACAAAGACGAAAGGUGAAUGGAAAUCAGGAGACAGAUGUUUAGCACAACUUGCUGAUGAUGGCAAAUUUUAUGAAGGUACUAUUGAAACUAUUGAUGGAGAAGCUGUAGCAGUUUUAAUAGAUGGACAAAAAACUGCUGCAGUUACCACUAUGGAUUAUAUUAAAGAUUUGCCUAGAACUCAUCCUAAUGAAAUGAAACAUAAAAAGCAACCUGUUGCUAAAUAUAGAGAAUAUCAAAAAAAAAGAAAACUUGCUAAACAGCAGAGAUUUAAACAAUUAGAAGAAGAAAGAGAAGUUGAGAAAAAUAAAUGGCUUGCGUUUGCUACUAAAGGUGAACCUUGGUACAUACAAGUAAUAGGCAUGAUUUUUAUCACAACACCAAUUAAAUCUUACUCAUUGUAUAAAUAACGUUAACAGCAAAUAUCCCAAUGCUGAUUGAAUUAUGAGACAAUUUAAAUUAGUUUAUUGAAUGACACCAAUCAGUGGUGUCUACACUAUUGACGUCGGUGUAAAAAAAGGCAUACCGAAAAAGAGUAUAUUUGCUUCUCCCGAUAAUGUUAAUGGAAGAGUUGGUAUUGGUACCUGUGGCUUAGGAGG